rnacentral:rRNA from 1 species
AUUGAACGCUGGCGGCAGGCCUAACACAUGCAAGUCGAGCGAGCGGCGGACGGGUGAGUAAUGUAUGGGGACUGCCCGAUAGAGGGGGAUAACAAAUGGAAACGGUAGCUAAUACCGCAUACUAUCGGAUAACCCAUAUGGGAUUGGCUAGUAGUUGAGGGAAUGGCUCACCUAGGGGACGCUCCCUAGCUGGUCUGAGAGGAGGAUCAGCCACACUGGGACGGAGACACGGCCCAGACUCCUACGGAGGCAGCAGUGGGGAAUAUUGCACAAUGGGCGCAAGCCUGAUGCAGCCAUGCCGCGUGUAUGAAGAAGGCCCUAGGGUUGUAAAGUACUUUCAGUCGGGAGGCGUUACCGACAGAAGAAGCACCGGCUAACUCCGUGCCAGCAGCCGCGGUAAUUC